AUUGAACACACACCCAUAUACAUAUAUACACAUUAUUUUGCAUAUACUGUAUAUAUAUAUAGAUAGAUACUAUAUUAUUUUGCAUGCUUCACCCUCUGUCUGUCAUUCCCAUAUAUGUGUAUAUACACAAAUACACAUUGUUUUGCAUAUAUAUAUAUAUAUAUAUAUUCUUGUGCAUGUUUCACCUUCUGUCUGUCUUUCCCAUAUAUAUAUAUAUGUGUGUGUGUGUGUGUGUGUGUGUGUAUAUAUAAUUUUUCAUAAUAUAUAUAUAUAUAUAUAUAUUCUUGUGCAUGUUUCACAUUCUGUCUGUCUUUCCCAUUUAUAUAUAUAUAUAUAUAUAUACACAUACACACACAGCGGAUCAGAGAAAGAGGGACAUAUGCGCACAGGCGCACUAGGGCGGUCCAUGCGUACACUACCGCAGUGGUACAUGCCACAGAAACAAUAGUAGUGGUCCAAUGCAGCAAAACCGGUCUAGGUGAGUGGUAGGAUUGUUCUAGAACUCACUUCCCCUCCCCCCCCCCCCCCACUUUCCUAGGGAAAGCAAAUAUAGGUUUCCGCUCCUUGCCUUUUUCAGACCUAACCUUGUCUUCCAAAGGCGGAUUUCUCGUACAGUAGCCAUGUUGUGGAUGAGUGGCUCCAUAGAAACACAUCCAGACACACACACAGAGAGAAAUAUAGGUCUCGAUAGGAUGUCUCCAAUCCAGUCUUCGCAGUUACCCAUCCAUGGCGCAUUCCAAUUAUUUUUUUUCUUCAUGUAUUAUCGUGAGAUAUACAAUUUCAUAUCUGUGUGACUAUUGUAGCUAUUCAUUCCAUCUGUGCAUUUGCUUCUAUUCGUGCGUAUGUUAAAUACGCAGACAUAUUGGAAAUAAGUAGUAUUUGUACAUAUGUAAGCGGGCAGCUACUUGGAUGGUAUAUAUAAUUAUAUCUAACAAUUAAUUGUAUAUAACAAACAUACAUACGCACACUUUUAAUUCUCCACAUUUAAUUUGGGAACUGAAUAUAUUCGUUUCUAGAGUUAUUCCCUCCCCCUUGAAAGAAGGCCCUUUUCUUAUAAUUUGAAAGAUAAUGGAAUUGCCGAAAACUACCUUUCAGAGGAAACCGUUUCAUUAAAUAUCUCAGAUUUUAUUCUGUGGCAAAAGCAAGAAAGAAUGCCUCGAGCCUCACCCAUUUCUCCUCGAUUAUAUUUUGAAUUAUUUUUUUUUUCAGUCAGUAAUUUUAUCUAUAUGGGAAUGUGGGUAUAUUUUCUGACAUUCUUGAGUCUUCUUUAGGAAAGGAAAUUGGGAUAGGAAUAUAAUAAUAAUAAUAAUAAUAAUAAUAAUAAUAAUAAUAAUAAUAAUAAUCUGAUGGUUAGCCUUCUGGAGAGUUAUGGCUUCAAAUGCAGAGUAUACUUAAAAUAAAAUAAAGGAAUCAAUAUCCCUGCCCAAACUCUCCCCUUCAAGUGCCCAAAUUCUGGAAAAUUCCAUCAUUCGAACUGGAGGGAGCAUAAAAUGGAAGGAUAUAUCUGCGGGUGCCUAAAAUUCCCCCGCAUUUGAUUCGCGUUGUUUAUUUUUGCGUAUUCAAUGGUUCCCAUUAAUUGUACAUUUGUUUUGAUGCCUGGUUUAUGUUGGCGAUAACGGGAAACAGAGAUAUUGUCAUAAAACCACUGAAGUAGGGUUUUAGAAACUCAAAAAUGAAAUGGGACAAAAAUAAUAAUAAUCCCAUACACUCCGGAAACAAUGGGCUGUGGCGUGUUAUUAUUAUUAUUGUUAUUUUUAUUUCCUAUCCUUGUCUUUUUGUAGGGUUUGGGGAUGAUUACAGCGAGAAGUACUUCAAGUGAUUGUGACAUUAAAAUAUGACUCAUGGGCUUUAUUUUGCUAGCCAAGACGUUUUCUCCCAUCCUAUUCCUCCAACUGGUUAUUUUAACUUCAUAUAGUCAACUCAAAUUGUUCAUUAUUGGGUCAAAUUUUAACCAAACUAUUGGUUUUUCCCCCUUUUUUGACAUUCCUAUUAUUUAUUUGUUUGUUUGGGUUGCUGUGAGUUUUCCGGGCUGUAUGGCCAUGUUCCAGAAGCAUUUUCUCCUGAUGUUUCGCUUUCAUCUAUGGCAAGCAUCUUCAGAGGUUGUGAGAAGAGUCAGGAAAAUGGCGUCAGAUUGGCAGACGAUUUUUCAAAAGGUCAGUUUUCUUUAAAAUCCGGUUUACAUCUUCAAGACAUAACCGAGGAGCCUUUCCUUCUGCUUAUAAAAGGAGGAAGGCCUUCUCCACGGAAAGGACGGAUUUUGCCCAGGAACAAAGAACAGAGACCAUUAAUGGAGAAAAAGCAAUGACCAGACAGGAGUUCAGGCGAUUCAGUAAGAUUAUUUUUUAAUCGUUUCUUUUUUAAUCGUUUUCUCUCUACGCAUAGUAAUCACAGAAUUACAAAUAAAAAGGCUUGGCCAACGAUUAAAUUAUUUGCUAUCUAUCAUA